GACGAACGCUGGCGGCGUGCCUAACACAUGCAAGUCGAACGAAGCUUGAUUACGGAUUCUUCGGAUGAAGUAUGAUAUGACUGAGUGGCGGACGGGUGAGUAACGCGUGAGUAACCUGCCCUUCAGAGGGGGAUAGCGUUUGGAAACGAACGGUAAUACCGCAUAAUGUAUUUUGACCGCAUGAUCGAAAUACCAAAGAUUUAUCGCUGAAGGAUGGACUCGCGUCUGAUUAGGUAGUUGGUGGGGUAACGGCCUACCAAGCCGACGAUCAGUAGCCGGACUGAGAGGUUGAUCGGCCACAUUGGGACUGAGACACGGCCCAGACUCCUACGGGAGGCAGCAGUGGGGAAUAUUGCACAAUGGGCGCAAGCCUGAUGCAGCAACGCCGCGUGAAGGAAGACGGUUUUCGGAUUGUAAACUUCUGUUCUUAGUGAAGAAUAAUGACGGUAGCUAAGGAGCAAGCCACGGCUAACUACGUGCCAGCAGCCGCGGUAAUACGUAGGUGGCAAGCGUUGUCCGGAAUUACUGGGUGUAAAGGGAGCGCAGGCGGGUGAUCAGUCAGCUGUGAAAACUACGGGGCUAACCCGUAGACUGCAGUUGAAACUGUUCAUCUUGAGUGAAGUAGAGGUUGGCGGAAUUCCGAGUGUAGCGGUGAAAUGCGUAGAUAUUCGGAGGAACACCGGUGGCGAAGGCGGCCAACUGGGCUUUAACUGACGCUGAGGCUCGAAAGUGUGGGGAGCAAACAGGAUUAGAUACCCUGGUAGUCCACACUGUAAACGAUGAUUGCUAGGUGUGGGGGGUCUGACCCCUUCCGUGCCGGAGCUAACGCAAUAAGCAAUCCACCUGGGGAGUACGACCGCAAGGUUGAAACUCAAAGGAAUUGACGGGGACCCGCACAAGCAGUGGAUUAUGUGGUUUAAUUCGAAGCAACGCGAAGAACCUUACCAGCACUUGACAUCCAACUAACGAAAUAGAGAUAUAUUAGGUGCCCUUCGGGGAAAGUUGAGACAGGUGGUGCAUGGUUGUCGUCAGCUCGUGUCGUGAGAUGUUGGGUUAAGUCCCGCAACGAGCGCAACCCUCGCCAUUAGUUGCUACGCAAGAGCACUCUAAUGGGACCGCUACCGACAAGGUGGAGGAAGGUGGGGACGACGUCAAAUCAUCAUGCCCCUUAUGUGCUGGGCUACACACGUAAUACAAUGGCCAUCAACAGAGAGAAGCAAUACCGCGAGGUGGAGCAAAACUUCAAAAAUGGUCUCAGUUCGGACUGCAGGCUGCAACCCGCCUGCACGAAGUUGGAAUUGCUAGUAAUCGUGGAUCAGCACGCCACGGUGAAUACGUUCCCGGGUCU
rnacentral:rRNA from 1 species